CUCAAAAACACAAUAGAAAGAAGGUUCUGCAGUGGAUAACUCGCCUCCCAGAAACCCAAACUCUGGCCCCGUGAUGCUCGCCCACACGCGCCUCCCGCCUCCGGCUCCGCAUCCCGCCCAAAUCCUGCCCGCCCGCCUUGCCGGAGGCGGCGGUGUGGAGUUCCGCCGCAAGGUCCACUUCCUCUCGGCCGAGCUCCAUCUCGACCCGUUCCCGCUCCUCGCCCUUCAUCCUGAGCUCCGCUCCGCGCCGCUCGCGCUUCUCCAUGCCUCCCUCCGCCUCCUCCUCUCACACGGACUCUCCGCCGGCGACGCCUCCCGCGUCUUUUCGGCAUUCCCGUCGCUCCUCACCUCUCCUCCUGAGGAGUCCCUCCGCUUCCUCUCCGCCGCCGCGCCGCUGCCCCCUCCUCUCCUCCGCGCCGCGGUGGUCCGUUCCCCUCGCCUCCUCGCAGCGUCCAUCCCGGACACCCUCCGCCCCGCGCUUUACUUCCUUCGCCACCGCGUUUCCCUGCGACGGAGACCCCUUCCGCUCGCUGCUGCCCUGCUCCUCGCUUUCUCCGUCGACCGCACACUCCUCCCCAAGGUCCUCUUCCUUGGCAAAGCCACGGGGCUCCCAGACCCCGCCAUCUGCACCAUUAUUCGCCGCGCCCCCGCCAUUCUCUCCUAUGGUAUCGAGACCAACCUCACGCCCAAGCUCAAGUUCCUCGCCGACGGCAUGGGCAUGGACCCAGCCGCGGAGCUUACCGAGUUCCCACACUACUUCGCGUUCAGCUUGGAGGGGAGGAUCAGGCCGAGGCACCAAGCAUUGAGGCUGAGGGGCAUUGAUAUGUCACUAAAGGAAAUGCUCACGAGCAGCGAUGAUGAGUUCAAGGAGCGGAUUUUAGAUGCAACGCUGUCGGGCAAUAUGCAGAAGAUGUGAACCUGGACUCAGAAGGGGGGUAUGUGUGGUUGCUGCACUGCAUCUGGUUUCCAUAAUUGUGGUGCAUUGAGUUUGAAUCCAUUAAAAAUUUUAGCCUCUAAUGUGCCAAAUGCCUUCAACGGUAGCUCAACAUAAAUUGAGCUGGUGUGUUACCCUUGGAGGAAGGAUGGGUCGAGGCAUGAGCCGUUUGAGAGGUGGGCAGUUUUGGUUCUAUGGUGGAGCUGUGGGACCUAUGUUUAGAAAUUAUUGGUCAAAUCACCAUAUUGAAGACCCUGUCCUGUCCUAAAAGAGCUAGGUUUUGGAUAGAUGGAAAUAGGUGUUUCCAUGGGAUGAUGUAAACUGAACUGUUGUUUGGUUCACUUUUGGCAUUGCAUAAUUGGAAAACUUAAAUGUGGAAUGCUAGAUUAGGUUUGUUAGUUAACCUGCUCUUUUAUGGCCCAUCCACGUUUGUUGUUAGAAAUAAUAAUCCAUGCUUA